rnacentral:rRNA from 1 species
UACAGAGGUCUCAAGCGUUGUUCGGAUUCAUUGGGCGUAAAGGGUGUGUAGGUGGCGCGCUAAGUCGGGUGUGAAAUUUCGGAGCUUAACUCCGAAACUGCAUUCGAUACUGGCGUGCUUGAGGACUGGAGAGGAGACUGGAAUUCAUGGUGUAGCAGUGAAAUGCGUAGAGAUCAUGAGGAAGACCAGUGGAGAAGGCGGGUAUCUGGACAGUUCCUGACACUGAGACACGAAGGCCAGGGGAGCAAACGGG